ensembl:ncRNA K04E7.4 ncRNA
AUCAUUUUUCAUCAUAAAUCACGCCGACAUGAUAUUCAGUCGGCUCAUAUCACCAUUUUACACCCUUUUCAACUUUGUGCCUUUCUUGUCAUGCUUUUCUCUUUACCCUCCACUCAAUUUUUCUUUUUCUCUUCA